rnacentral:rRNA from 1 species
AUUGAACGCUGGCGGCAUGCCUUACACAUGCAAGUCGAACGGCAGCACGGGAGCACCCCUGGUGGCGAGUGGCGAAUGGGUGAGUAAAGUAUCGGAACGUGCCCAGUCGUGGGGGAUAACGUAGCGAAAGUUACGCUAAUACCGCAUACGAUCUAUGGAUGAAAGCGGGGGAUCGCAAGACCUCGCGCGAUUGGAGCGGCCGAUAUCAGAUUAGGUAGUUGGUGGGGUAAAGGCUCACCAAGCCGACGAUCUGUAGCUGGUCUGAGAGGACGACCAGCCACACUGGGACUGAGACACGGCCCAGACUCCUACGGGAGGCAGCAGUGGGGAAUUUUGGACAAUGGGCGAAAGCCUGAUCCAGCCAUGCCGCGUGCAGGAUGAAGGCCUUCGGGUUGUAAACUGCUUUUGUACGGAACGAAAAGGUUUGGGCUAAUAAGCUGAGCUCAUGACGGUACCGUAAGAAUAAGCACCGGCUAACUACGUGCCAGCCGCCGCCGUAA